GGGUGAGUAACGCGUGAGUAACCUGCCCUUAGGAAAGGGAUAGCGUCUGGAAACGGACGGUAAUACCAUAUAAAGUAUAUUAACGGCAUCGUAGAUAUACCAAAGCUGAGGCGCCUAAGGAUGGACUCGCGUCUGAUUAGAUAGUUGGUGGGGUAACGGCCUACCAAGUCGACGAUCAGUAGCCGGACUGAGAGGUUGAACGGCCACAUUGGGACUGAGACACGGCCCAGACUCCUACGGGAGGCAGCAGUGGGGAAUAUUGCACAAUGGGCGAAAGCCUGAUGCAGCAACGCCGCGUGAAGGAAGACGGUUUUCGGAUUGUAAACCUCUGUUCUUAGUGAAGAAUAAUGACGGUAACUAAGGAGCAAGCCACGGCUAACUACGUGCCAGCAGCCGCGGUAAUACGUAGGUGGCAAGCGUUGUCCGGAAUUACUGGGUGUAAAGGGAGCGUAGGCGGGAAGCCAAGUCAGCUGUGAAAACUACGGGCUUAACCUGUAGACUGCAGUUGAAACUGGCUUUCUUGAGUGAAGUAGAGGUUGGCGGAAUUCCGAGUGUAGCGGUGAAAUGCGUAGAUAUUCGGAGGAACACCGGUGGCGAAGGCGGCCAACUGGGCUUUAACUGACGCUGAGGCUCGAAAGUGUGGGGAGCAAACAGGAUUAGAUACCCUGGUAGUCCACACUGUAAACGAUG
rnacentral:rRNA from 1 species